AGCGAACGCUGGCGGCAGGCCUAACACAUGCAAGUCGAGCGCCGUAGCAAUACGGAGCGGCAGACGGGAGAGUAACACGUGGGAACGUGCCCUUUAGUUCGGAACAACCCAGGGAAACUUGGGCUAAUACCGGAUAAGCCCUUACGGGGAAAGAUUUAUCGCCGAAGGAUCGGCCCGCGUCUGAUUAGCUAGUUGGUGGGGUAAUGGCCCACCAAGGCGACGAUCAGUAGCUGGUCUGAGAGGAUGAUCAGCCUCACUGGGACUGAGACACGGCCCAGACUCCUACGGGAGGCAGCAGUGGGGAAUAUUGGACAAUGGGCGCAAGCCUGAUCCAGCCAUGCCGCGUGGGUGAUGAAGGCCCUAGGGUUGUAAAGCCCUUUCGGCGGGGAAGAUAAUGACGGUACCCGCAGAAGAAGCCCCGGCUAACUUCGUGCCAGCCGCCGCCGUAAUAC
rnacentral:rRNA from 1 species